rnacentral:lncRNA from 1 species
UGUUGCCAUGUCGUUCGCUAGUGCACACAGGCGAAACCUACGGCCCAAAUUACCCCUGUACAUAGCGAUACUACGAAUAGGCUGGACCACCAAGUCCGCUUAUGUACUAAACGCGCUUAUGUACAUUGCCUAUGUACUUGGCACAUAGAUGAUUUUCAGGGACUGAAAAUUUCAGUUUAUAGCUGACUGCGAAACCCCUCUCACAAUACCCCUAAACCUGUCUAUACCUACAGUUACAUAAAAAUAAUACAAAACCAGAUUUCUAAAUUAUUCAUUCGACAACAGUACAAAAAAUAACCACGUGAUAUACAAAACAUUUCGGCUAUAAUGUUCCUACAUGUAAUCCCAAAUCGCAGUUUGCUAUCGACGAAAUUUUGCAAGAGGAUCGACAAGAUCAUUUUAGUUAAUUAAAAUCAUUUCGUUAACCAUAAUUUACAACCAAAUCAAAGGGCACAUUGACUUUUUCGUUUUACGCUUCUCUAACCUUUUUAACCAGGAGUUAAAGCUAUUGACAACCUGCAUCGGGCAACAGAACAUCUACAGCAGACUCAAUAAUUUAACUUCGACCGUUUUUUUAAUAAGUAAUAGGGCAACAAUCCAUCCAGUUCUUAAGUUAAAUCCGUAGUUCCGCAAUAAACUGGGCAUAUAUAAUAUAUACAACGGGCUAAGUUUUGUGAACUUUAUAAUACAACAUAUAUACAGAUACAGUGAACUUUUGAGUUACGUUUUUACAUCUCAUUGACUUUAUUCGUUUCGACUUGAUUUUGAAGAACUUUGAUUUCGCCAAAAAAACCGUUCGACUAAUAAAAAAAUCUGUGAUCUAGAUAACGUUUAUUUAAUAAAUUUAGGUGUAUCUAAAACAAAGUUAAAUAAUUUAUUUUAACAAAAAAGAAAAAGCUAAAUCGUAUUUUUCCAAAAUCUCGACUAGAGUGCCUUAUAUCGUCGGCCUUAUAUCAAAAAAUACUUCCUAUUAGAAAAUUUGUAUAUUAAUAAAAAACAAAAAAAAACAAAAAAAUAAGAAACUAAAAAUAUACAUUGUGGCUUAUAUUUGGUACAAGUACAAAAUUGUUGAAAAUUAAUACGUUUUUAAGAAGAAAAUAGUCUAAAAAUUUCCUAAUCGUGACUGUUUAAUAUACCUGCCUUCGACUAAUCUAUAUAUACCAAUCGUGACCGUUAAACCUGACAGUGACUUUAUCUACAAGAAUAAGGGUAAGUGUUUCUUAGUAAUCAUGUUAUAUUUCUUUGCUUUGGCAAUUAGAGAACACUUUUAGCAAUUUCUGCCGAAAAAAAAUUACAUUCGAAUAAAAAGAAUAUCAGAAAAAUUUAUUAAGUAUAAUAAUGUUUAAAUAAAAAAUCUAAUAUACCAUUGACUAAGAGGAUUAUAAUAGACAAUCAUAUAUAAUAUCCUUCUUUUAACAAGGCCAUCCAAAUUGCUAUCCUACCCAUUAAUAAAACAUUUCUUGCGCUUCUAACAUGACACUAUUACUGAGAUCAUAAGUUUUUAUUGGGAUUCACUAAAAUAACCAAUCCAGUCAUUCACCAUUUUCAAUUGAAGAAAAAAAAA